AGAUCGGAAUGUCCAUUUAUUCACUUUCUGAAGACAAAAUUCCAGCUAAGUGGCCAAGACCUCUCGGCAAUAUGAAUAUGAGCAGAAACGCGUCCAGCAAAGCGUGAUGAAUCAGACCUCAACGGCUCCCCAGAGACAUUUUUAAAGCAUCUGCAUCCCGAAUCAAGUUAACACCAUUCGCCAUCUUGGAUGAUGAUUCCAGUGGAGGUAGGGAUUUCUUUAAUCGCAACGGACCUUAGUGAUGGAUACCUGCAAUGCUGCCUCAUGAUCAGGCCAAAGCGAGUUAUCUUUUAAGACUCUACUCUGAUUGUGUGUGUUCGUGUGUUCUGGCCUGGCUUUGGAAGCGCUCUGAAGUGGGGAAAUGGCCCAAUCCAUCUUCCGGAAAAAAGGGGACACUGUUGGAGCGGUUAUCUGAUGAGACGGCACCCUCCUUUCCAAUGAGAAAUUCCUCCACCAAAGCUUCCUGGAAUUUAGGGAUUUUGAGGAACAAGCUCUCUGAACCAGCUGACGAAGGUUUGAGAGGUUUGUCUCCGAUUUGAACUUUAUUCAGGAGUAAAACAUGCAAAAUAAUGGAACAACAACAAAAUAACAAUACUGCAAAUCAGUAAUACUGACAAAUAUCAAUUAUCAGUAGUAACAGUAAACUAAGAGUAAUUCAUGUUUCUCUUUAGAUUUUUUUAUUAUUUUUAUUUGAUUUUUGGUUCAUCUCACCUGUAAAACUCUAUUUAAUUGAGAGCUAGAUAGUAUUAUUAUUAUUUAGUAUUUUUAAUACUUUUCUCAACUGUAAAUCUCAGCCCAAAAUAAUUAUGAAAGUAAGAAAAACUUUGACUGUAUGAGAUGUGAAUUAUACAUUGCUACUCUUUUAAGUGUUUGUUUACAUAAUGCAAAUAGUGGCCUUAGUUUUCCUUGUUAUUUUACU